rnacentral:rRNA from 1 species
UACGAAGGGGGCUAGCGUUGCUCGGAAUCACUGGGCGUAAAGGGUGCGUAGGCGGGUCUUUAAGUCAGGGGUGAAAUCCUGGAGCUCAACUCCAGAACUGCCUUUGAUACUGAAGAUCUUGAGUCCGGGAGAGGUGAGUGGAACUGCGAGUGUAGAGGUGAAAUUCGUAGAUAUUCGCAAGAACACCAGUGGCGAAGGCGGCUCACUGGCCCGGUACUGACGCUGAGGCACGAAGC